AAGACUAUAGACCUGCGGAGUACCUGCGGAGGGAUCAUUAGUGAACGCCCUCACGGGCUUAUAACUGUUCCAAACCUCUGUGAACCGUGCCCUUCGGGGCUAUUUUACAAACAUGGUGUAAUGAACGUCAUAUAUCAUAACAAAACAAAACUUUCAACAAUGGAUCUCU
rnacentral:misc_RNA from 1 species